rnacentral:rRNA from 1 species
AGCGAACGCUGGCGGCAGGCUUAACACAUGCAAGUCGAACGCCGUAGCAAUACGGAGUGGCAGACGGGUGAGUAACACGUGGGAACGUACCCUUCGGUUCGGAAUAACUCAGGGAAACUUGAGCUAAUACCGGAUACGUCCGAGAGGAGAAAGAUUUAUCGCCGAGGGAUCGGCCCGCGUCUGAUUAGCUUGUUGGUGAGGUAACGGCUCACCAAGGCGACGAUCAGUAGCUGGUCUGAGAGGAUGAUCAGCCACAUUGGGACUGAGACACGGCCCAAACUCCUACGGGAGGCAGCAGUGGGGAAUAUUGGACAAUGGGCGCAAGCCUGAUCCAGCCAUGCCGCGUGAGUGAUGAAGGCCCUAGGGUUGUAAAGCUCUUUUACCCGGGAAGAUAAUGACUGUACCGGGAGAAUAAGCCCCGGCUAACUUCGUGCCAGCAGCCGCCGUAAU